GAUAAUUUCAUAAGUAUUGAAAAGGUUUCUUCUGCGAAUCUCCCAUUGACAUUCAAAUUUAAGAUAAACGACUUUAUGAAGAGAUUUGGAAAGAUUCCUCUGGGAAUAUCUAUGGGCGGAUUCUUCCAUAUUAAACGCGACUUCUUGAUAAGGGUGAUAAGUGCGGUUUAUUCGACAUUUUCUUCGUGUGUUGAAGUUAGUGGAAUUUUAGAAAAGGAAUCGAAAUGUAUGGUCAAACAAGGAAACAAUACGCUUCGUGUUUAAGUGUUCUUUAUAAAUAAUGAAUCAAAUGACUGAGAACCUAACUGUUUUAUCAUUUACAUCGUUAAAUCCUAUAAUGAUAUAUAAGUUUAUAAACUAAAUGAUUUCAAAAAUUAAUGCAUGAAUUGUAGCAAUAAAUAAGUCAUCUUAGAUCUGUAGAAUAAUUCUUUUUAAUCGGUACUCUGAUUAUCGUUAUUCAGAAAUUCAAUUUCCAUCGUUUUAUAUAAAAUCACCUGCACUCUUUCUAAAUGUGUUAAAUUGUAAUAGAGUCGUAUAAUUUUUAAUAUUUUAAGUUUUAAUAAUUAUUUGUUAGAAGAGAA